rnacentral:rRNA from 1 species
AUUGAACGCUGGCGGCAUGCCUUACACAUGCAAGUCGAACGGUAACGGGCCUUCGGGUGCCGACGAGUGGCGAACGGGUGAGUAAUGUAUCGGAACGUACCUUUCAGUGGGGGAUAACGUAGCGAAAGUUACGCUAAUACCGCAUAUUCUGUGCGCAGGAAAGCAGGGGAUCGCAAGACCUUGCGCUGAUUGAGCGGCCGAUAUCAGAUUAGCUAGUUGGUGAGGUAAAGGCUCACCAAGGCGACGAUCUGUAGCGGGUCUGAGAGGAUGAUCCGCCACACUGGGACUGAGACACGGUCCAGACUCCUACGGGAGGCAGCAGUGGGGGAAUUUUUGGACAAUGGGGGCGAACCCUGAUCCAGCCAUGCCGCGUGAGUGAAGAAGGCCUCGGUGUAAGUACUCUUCGGUCCGGGACGGAAAGUACGUAUACAGCUAAUACCUACGGUGUCGGAGUGACGGUACC